rnacentral:misc_RNA from 1 species
GGGUGUCUGAUCUUGUUGAUCUCAUUUUAUGUACAACUUCAAUCUAGCUCACCCCCAGCUCCAACAUCGCCGCUAGGACUCUCUUAUCCGUUUGAGGAUGCCAAUGAAGGGUAUCUACACUUUCUGCGCAGCUCAUCGUACGCUGACAAUGAAUUAAUUACACUAGGGAAUGUCAUUCUAGUCCAUAACUGAAGUAGACUGUGUUGGGCUGACACUUCCACCUCUAGUCAUUUUUAGAGCAUCCAGAACUUUGUGUAUCUCCAUACUCAUAGCACUAUCCACACUUCCUGAUGAUA